rnacentral:rRNA from 1 species
UACGUAGGGUGCGAGCGUUGUCCGGAAUUAUUGGGCGUAAAGGGCUCGUAGGCGGUUUGUCGCGUCGGGAGUGAAAACCAGGUGCUUAACACCUGGCUUGCUUUCGAUACGGGCAGACUAGAGGUAUGCAGGGGAGAACGGAAUUCCUGGUGUAGCGGUGAAAUGCGCAGAUAUCAGGAGGAACACCGGUGGCGAAGGCGGUUCUCUGGGCCGAUACUGACGCUGAGGAGCGAAAGCGUGGGGAGCGAACAGG